ensembl:snRNA U2 U2 spliceosomal RNA
AUCACUUCUCGGCCUUUUGGCUAAGAUCAAGUGUAGCAAAGGAGAGUAUUUUGAGGGGACUAAUGGCAAUGUGUCUUUUAUAGUAAUACAUUUUCUAAACUUUAUUUUUUUGUUUUAGUUUAUUUUUGUAGUUCAGGCUGGCCUUGAAUUCACUAUGUAGCCCAGGCUGGCCUCAAGCUC